AGAGUUUGAUCAUGGCUCAGGACGAACGCUGGCGGCGUGCUUAACACAUGCAAGUUGGGCGAGGAUGGUUUGAGGAGACAUAUGUUGAAUUGAAUCGUUCGAGCAGCGGACGGGUGAGUAAAGCACAAGGACUUGUCCGAAAGAGAGGGACACCUUCGGGAAACCGGAGCUAAUACCUCAUAAGCCGGAAGGUGAAAAGCAGAGAUGCGCUUUUGGAGAGACUUGUGUCCUAUCAGGCAGUUGGUGAGGUGAAAGCUCACCAAACCGAAGACGGGUAGCCGGACUGAGAGGUCGACCGGCCACAUUGGAACUGAGAGACGGUCCAGACUCCUACGGGAGGCAGCAGUGGGGAAUAUUGGGCAAUGGGCGGAAGCCUGACCCAGCGACGCCGCGUGAGGGAAGACAGCCUUCGGGUUGUAAACCUCUGUUGCAGGGGAAGAAGGAAGUGACGGUACCCUGCGAGGAAGCUCCGGCUAACUACGUGCCAGCAGCCGCGGUAAUACGUAGGGAGCGAGCGUUGUCCGGAAUUACUGGGCGUAAAGGGCGCGUAGGCGGCGCUUCAAGUCGUCU
rnacentral:rRNA from 1 species